rnacentral:rRNA from 1 species
CGGUGGAGCAUGUGGUUUAAUUCGAAGCAACGACGAAGAACCUUACCAGGUCUUGACAUCCCGAUGCUAUUCUAGAGAUAGAAAGUUACUUCGGUACAUCGGUGACAGGUGGUGCAUGGUUGUCGUCAGCUCGUGUCGUGAGAUGUUGGGUUAAGUCCCGCAACGAGCGCAACCCCUAUUGUUAGUUGCCAUCAUUCAGUUGGGCACUCUAGCGAGACUGCCGGUAAUAAACCGGAGGAAGGUGGGGAUGACGUCAAAUCAUCAUGCCCCUUAUGACCUGGGCUACACACGUGCUACAAUGGUUGGUACAACGAGUUGCGAGUCGGUGACGGCGAGCUAAUCUCUUAAAGCCAAUCUCAGUUCGGAUUGUAGGCUGCAACUCGCCUACAUGAAGUCGGAAUCGCUAGUAAUCGCGGAUCAGCACGCCGCGGUGAAUACGUUCCCGGGCCUU